UACGUAGGGGGCAAGCGUUGUCCGGAAUUAUUGGGCGUAAAGGGUGCGUAGGCGGUUUUGUAAGUCUUAUGUGAAAUCUAUGGGCUCAACUCAUAGUCUGCAUGAGAAACUGCCGGGCUUGAGUGUGGGAGAGGUGAGUGGAAUUUCCGGUGUAGCGGUGAAAUGCGUAGAUAUCGGAAGGAACACCUGUGGCGAAAGCGGCUCACUGGACCACAACUGACGCUGAUGCACGAAAGCUAGGGGAGCAAGCAGG
rnacentral:rRNA from 1 species